UGCGCAGGCGGUUCUCCAAGUCCGUUGUGAAAGCCCCGGGCUCAACCUGGGAAUGGCAGUGGAAACUAGGGGACUUGAAUCUGGCAGAGGGGGGUGGAAUUCCACGUGUAGCAGUGAAAUGCGUAGAGAUGUGGAGGAACACCGAUGGCGAAGGCAGCCCCCUGGGCUGCGAUUGACGCUCAGGCACGAAAGCGUGGGAGCAAACA
rnacentral:rRNA from 1 species